rnacentral:rRNA from 1 species
UACGUAGGGUGCAAGCGUUGUCCGGAAUUAUUGGGCGUAAAGAGCUCGUAGGCGGCUUGUCGCGUCGACUGUGAAAACCUGGGGCUCAACCCCGGGCCUGCAGCCGAUACGGGCAAGCUAGAAUUCGGUAGGGGAGACUGGAAUUCCUGGUGUAGCGGUGAAAUGCGCAGAUAUCAGGAGGAACACCGGUGGCGAAGGCGGGUCUCUGGGCCGAUAUUGACGCUGAGGAGCGAAAGCAUGGGGAGCGAACAGG